CACUAUAUAGCAAAGGAUUUGCGACAAAAUAUCAUGCCUUCAGUGUGUUUUGUAUUAUACAUACAGCGUCAAUGACCGCUACAACAGAUUCCACCACAAAGCUUUUCUGUGGCAAAAUGGCGGAUCCACGGGCUUUAAUGUUUUGUCGCAAAUCCUUUGCUUGCCAUUACUGCAUCAAAAGCAAACCGCCAAAGCAACCAUACCAACGUAAUACAAUAAACAUAAUUAUCCAUUAAGGACUUACCGUGACAACGAACUUCUUUGGUUGAACCGCAAAGUUGAAAGACAGAACGUACUCGAAAGAAUCCGCUCACAAUAUUAAUCCGUGGAAAGGAGAGCAAAAGGGUCUAUCUGAAUAAAGAUGUCUCAAGCAGAGAAAAUCCGAUCAGAGUGAGACGAGCCGUGCGUCGCUGACGAUAGUCAUUCAACUCGCGAAGCACCAUGGGAGUAUGCCACGCCCACACCUCUACAGAUGAUGUAGAUGUGUUUCUCUGCUCUUCAUGCCGGACAACAUCUCCUGACUACUUGCUCGCCAAAGUAAAAAAGAUAAGAUUGACGGAUGUCCAAAACGGGAAGACUGAAUAAUACAGUUGGUAUUCCAUAUGAAUAUUCCAAUUUAACAAACCAUACACGGAUUCGGAAAUACCUUAAUUUCAUGAUUUGGAUUGUGGCUUUGAAUAAUAGCUAGCCUACUGUGUGUACCUCGUCACGCACUCAAGGGCGUACACCACGCCCACACCUGAACCACGCCCACACCUGAACAGAUAUAAUCAGGAGACCACUGUGUAAAACAUCACUUGCCCUGAGCAAUCUUAUGAACAACACCAUUACACUCGUCUUGCCUCGUCUUGCCUCGUCUUGCCUCGUCUUGCCUCGUCCCGCCUCGACCCGCCUUGUCUCGUCUCAGCUUGAUUUGUUCUCAAAAGAAAAUAAAUGGCCGGAAAGUCCCCAGCAGACUUUCCAUCAACAAACCACCCCGAGACAAUUGCCAUGAAGGCUGAAUCAAGGAAUAACUAUCAUAUCUGUGUAGAUAAAAUAUACACCAGGGAACAGAAGGUCGACCAUGCGUUCCGAUUCGGUAUGCUGGUGUGCGCAAAGACCAUCCACUACACCGAGCGGGAGAAGGCACACAAAAAACAACUGGAAUUCCUUCGGAGGGAGGUUGAUAGACGUGGCAAAAUUAUCCACAAUUUAGAACUGGACCUGGCGGCAUCCGAGGCCAGCUUGUCUGCCUCGGAGACAAAUCUGGACGCCACAAAAAACGACUUGGAAGAUCUUCAACUUAUCAACGCCUCCCAAGAUACGGAUUCGUCACACUCACAGCCAUUGUGUUCGACAAUGAUUGAUGACGAGAACGGGAACGGAGAUCCCGAAUGAUAGGCCCCUGAAUUAUAUUGUAAAUAGUGUUUUUUUUUUUUAAUAUAUUGUGAUAUUGUAAAUAGUGUGUUUUUUUUUAUUUGUGUGAAAUUUUUUUUUUUAUAUAGUGUGAUAUUGUAA